rnacentral:tRNA from 1 species
GCGAGGUAGCUCAGUUGGUAGAGCUCCGGAAUCAUAAUCCGUUGGUCGUGGGUUCGAGUCCCUCCCUCGCC